rnacentral:lncRNA from 1 species
CUUAGCUGCUGACGUUCUUCGCCAGAUAGUCAGAAACUCAGAAACAGAAACUUUCCUUUUUCAGCUUAGUAUACAUCUCUUCGAAGUUAAAAUAUUUUGCAACCCCUUUUUGAGUAUUGAGAUCAUUAAAAAAGAUUGAAGUCCAGAAUCCAAGAUUUUAGGAGAUUGUGAUUAUAUGGCUUUGAAUUAUGUGGAUUUAGAACUAGCACAAAAGGGUUUUGAUUUUACUCGAACAAAAUAGGAACUUGGUUGUUGCUUUGGGAGCUCUUGGUGUCACUAGUUAUGGUGCUUAUAAAGCUUAUUGGUCACCUUCUAUGGUUAGAAAAAGG